AAAUGAAUUCUGCAUAUGUUUAAACAGUAUUUCUCCAUACAGGAAGAGUCCAGGUGCUAAAAUGGCCUGUCUGCAGUCCAGACCUUUCAAAUUAGGUACAUCAUGGAAUGACAUACAUGAUUAAGAAUAUCCUGUUGACCAACUGAAU